rnacentral:lncRNA from 1 species
AGGCAACGCCCAAGUUGUUGUUGUCGCUGCAGCUCAAGAUCCACGCCUUCCUGCUCUGGCUGUCCGUCGGCUUCCUGAUGCAUGUCCGCGUGCUGCUGAUCAGCUCCAAGGCUGUAAUCACAUAAUUAAGCAAUGCACAUAUCAACUUACCGGACAACAUGAAGGAUAGAUAUCAAUAUUUUAGCAGAUAAAUUUAAGACUUAGAUGCUCUGAAUUUCAUCAUUUGCGAGAAAAAUGAUAUUGUAAGGUACAUCAUUUUAUUGUACAAUCAGCUCUCCAAAAGCACCUAAAUUUCAGUGUACAAUCAGAAUGGCUAAGAACCAUUUGCUACAGAACUUACAGGUGUACCGAAAGAUAUUCAUCAAGAGCUACUUAAACCAUUUCAUAUAUGAAGCGAAAAUCAAGAAUUACUGGCAUUAAGGUAAACGGUCAAUGCACAUACCCAAAAAUUUGAAGCAGCCAAUUUGACUACGUUGGUCUAAUGAUCCUUCCAUUAGUCUUCGUAGGAGCCAAGUUGUUAAAAAGUAGUACAAGG